rnacentral:rRNA from 1 species
UACGGAGGGGGCUAGCGUUGUUCGGAAUUACUGGGCGUAAAGCGCGCGUAGGCGGCUUUGUAAGUUAGAGGUGAAAUCCUGGAGCUCAACUCCAGAACUGCCUUUGAUACUGAAGAUCUUGAGUUCGGGAGAGGUGAGUGGAACUGCGAGUGUAGAGGUGAAAUUCGUAGAUAUUCGCAAGAACACCAGUGGCGAAGGCGGCUCACUGGCCCGAUACUGACGCUGAGGCACGAAAGCGUGGGGAGCAAACAGG